GAUGAACGCUGGCGGCGUGCCUAAUACAUGCAAGUCGAGCGAACGGACGAGAAGCUUGCUUUUCUGAUGUUAGCGGCGGACGGGUGAGUAACACGUGGAUAACCUACCUAUAAGACUGGGAUAACUUCGGGAAACCGGAGCUAAUACCGGAUAAUAUCUUGAACCGCAUGGUUCAAAAGUGAAAGACGGUCUUGCUGUCACUUAUAGAUGGAUCCGCGCUGCAUUAGCUAGUUGGUAAGGUAACGGCUUACCAAGGCAACGAUGCAUAGCCGACCUGAGAGGGUGAUCGGCCACACUGGAACUGAGACACGGUCCAGACUCCUACGGGAGGCAGCAGUAGGGAAUCUUCCGCAAUGGGCGAAAGCCUGACGGAGCAACGCCGCGUGAGUGAUGAAGGUCUUCGGAUCGUAAAACUCUGUUAUUAGGGAAGAACAUAUGUGUAAGUAACUGUGCACAUCUUGACGGUACCUAAUCAGAAAGCCACGGCUAACUACGUG
rnacentral:rRNA from 1 species